rnacentral:lncRNA from 1 species
AAUCCAAGGGGGUUAUAGUGAAUUCCCAAGUGAGACUUGGGGAGUGGACGUAGGAGCAAGGGUUAGCUCCGAACCACUAUAAAACCUUGUGUUUGUGUUGGAUUGUCUCUAUUCUUCUUCCCCUCACAUCACUCACAGCACUUAGCAUUAAUUAGAUAACUUGCAAUAGUUUUUAAUUAGUCAACCACAUCGUUUUAAUUAUUCAAAUUAAUUUAAAACUCAAUUCACCCCCCCCCCC